rnacentral:rRNA from 1 species
UUCCUACGGGGGGCAGCAGUGAGGAAUAUUGGUCAAUGGGCUUACGCCUGAACCAGCCAAGUCGCGUGAGGGAAGACUGCCCUAUGGGUUGUAAACCUCUUUUGUCAGGGAGCAACGCCGGCUACGUGUAGCCGGACUGAGAGUACCUGAAGAAAAAGCAUCGGCUAACUCCGUGCCAGCAGCCGCGGUAAUACGGAGGAUGCGAGCGUUAUCCGGAUUUAUUGGGUUUAAAGGGUGCGUAGGCGGGACCUUAAGUCAGCGGUAAAAUUGCGGUGCUCAACGCCGUAGAGCCGUUGAAACUGGGG